rnacentral:rRNA from 1 species
AACGGGGGGACCAAGCGUUAUUCGUCUUGACGGGCGUAAAGGGCAAGUAGACGGUUUUAUCCCCUCACAAGAUAAAUAUUUGCGAAUAAAAUUGCAUGGUAUUGUGUGGGGGAUAUUACUAGAGUACGAUAGAGGAUAGCAGUACUCUCAGUGGAGGGGUAAAAUAUCCUAAGAUACUGAAGGGGACUCUCGGUGGCGAAGGCGGCUAUCUGGGUCGUUACUGACGUUGAGAGGCGAAAGCGUGGGGAGCAAACGGG